GACGUAGGACGCAAGCGUUAUCCGGAGUUACUGGGCGUAAAGCGCGGGCAGGCGGUUCUGCCAGUCUGAUGUGAAAUCUCCUCGCUCAACGGGGAGCAGCCAUUGGAAACUACAGAACUGGAGUCUGACAGAGGUAGGCGGAAUUCCGGGUGGAGUGGUGAAAUGCGUAGAGAUCCGGAGGAACACCAGAGGCGAAGGCGGCCUACUGGGUCAGUACUGACGCUGAGCCGCGAAAGCCAGGGGAGCGAACGGG
rnacentral:rRNA from 1 species